rnacentral:rRNA from 1 species
UGGGGAAUAUUGGACAAUGCGGGAAAGCCUGAUCCAGCCAUGCCGCGUGUGUGAUGACGGCCUUAGGGUUGUAAAGCACUUUCGCCAGGGAAGAUAAUGACGGUACCUGGUAAAGAAACCCCGGCUAACUCCGUGCCAGCAGCCGCGGUAAUACGGAGGGGGUUAGCGUUGUUCGGAAUUACUGGGCGUAAAGCGCGCGUAGGCGGGCUGUUAAGUCAGAGGUGAAAUCCCACGGCUCAACCGUGGAACUGCCUUUGAUACUGGCAACCUAGAGUUCGAGAGAGGUGAGUGGAAUUCCGAGUGUAGAGGUGAAAUUCGUAGAUAUUCGGAGGAACACCAGUGGCGAAGGCGGCUCACUGGCUCGAUACUGACGCUGAGGUGCGAAAGUGUGGGGAGCAAACAGGAUUAGAUACCCGUGUAGUCC